rnacentral:rRNA from 1 species
GAUGAACGCUAGCGCUAGGCUUAACACAUGCAAGUCGAGGGACCGGCGCACGGGUGCGUAACGCGUAUACAACUUGCCUCACAGAGGGGGAUAACCCGACGAAAGACGGAUUAAUACCGAGUACUGUGAGCUAGGCAUGCGUCCCAUUAGCGAGUUGGUGAGGUAACGGCUCACCAAGGCAACGAAGGGUAGGGGAACUGAGAGGUUGAACCCCCGCACUGGUACUGCGACCCGGACCAGACCCCUAGGGGACGGAGCAGUGAGUAAUAGUGGUCAAGGGGCGCUGGCCUGGACCAGCCAAGUGGCGUGAAGGAGGACUGUCUUUGGAUUGUAAACUUCUUUUGUAGGAGAAUAUGUACCCUACGAAUAAGCAUCGGCUAACUCCGUGCCAGCAGCCGCGGUAAUAC